rnacentral:lncRNA from 1 species
UUUCUUCCUCAUCAUAACCAUGUAUGAUGCUUCUUGAUAGAACAACCUUCCCCCAUGUGAUAUGAUCUAGCUAUACCCACACAUGAACAUGUCCGAUAUGCCAUUUCUACUGUCUUAAACUCUGGGGUCUGUUCGUAAUCUUAACCUGUCACAGGGGAGUCAAGGGUGCCUUGCUAAGUGUAAUGUUAUGAUCCCCUUUUUACCUGGAUCACUUUCAGUAACUAAUUCAUAGCAGCAUGAUUUAUAAAUUUGAAACCCUUCUAGUAAACAUCAGCAACCUUUGUUACCACUUAAUUAAUUUGAAUUUGAUUUCCUCAAUCUGUCAGGAGCAACUGUGGCAAAAAAUAAUUUUAUAUUUUCUUCCAAUUUUAAUUCUUCUAUAUUUACUCUAAUUUGAUUUCUUGAUUGUGCAGUUUCUCUAGUCCAAAGACUCUUUAAGUGGACCAACAUACUGGUCCAUUGCAACCCAUAGGAAUCCCAUGGGAAAUAUGUCAUGGGUUAUAGAAGCAAAGUCCUACAUACAGUCAUAGACUCCUUUUAAGUCAUAGCUAUCCAAUAACAUUUGUGUAUACAACUUUCCUCAUCUUUCCAUUUCCCCACUAAUAACUUUUCCUUACUACUUUAGAACACCUGCAAAGACCACCUUAAAAAUAUCCGAUCCUCAAAAGCACUCCUCUCCUUCCAUUUUCAACUAUUAUAAAAAUUCCCCAAGGGUGACUACAGAAAAAUGUUUCACUCCAUCUUUUUCCAUAUUCAUGUGCCAUAAGGAAGACAAAUGAGGCAUUGGAUAGUUGUACACCUCUAUCUUCGAUGAAGAUCACCACAUAUCCCAUGUAUUGAGAGGCGAAUCCUUCUCUAGGG